CUAUAAGACUGGGAUAACUUCGGGAAACCGGAGCUAAUACCGGAUAACACUUGGAACCGCAUGGUUCUAAAGUAAAAGAUGGUUUUGCUAUCACUUAUAGAUGGACCCGCGCCGUAUUAGCUAGUUGGUAAGGUAACGGCUUACCAAGGCAACGAUACGUAGCCGACCUGAGAGGGUGAUCGGCCACACUGGAACUGAGACACGGUCCAGACUCCUACGGGAGGCAGCAGUAGGGAAUCUUCCGCAAUGGACGAAAGUCUGACGGAGCAACGCCGCGUGAGUGAUGAAGGUUUUCGGAUCGUAAAACUCUGUUAUUAGGGAAGAACAAAUGUGUAAGUAACUGUGCACAUCUUGACGGUACCUAAUCAGAAAGCCACGGCUAACUACGUGCCAGCAGCCGCGGUAAUACGUAGGUGGCAAGCGUUAUCCGGAAUUAUUGGGCGUAAAGCGCGCGUAGGCGGUUUCUUAAGUCUGAUGUGAAAGCCCACGGCUCAACCGUGGAGGGUCAUUGGAAACUGGGAAACUUGAGUACAGAAGAGGAAAGUGGAAUUCCAUGUGUAGCGGUGAAAUGCGCAGAGAUAUGGAGGAACACCAGUGGCGAAGGCGACUUUCUGGUCUGUAACUGACGCUGAUGUGCGAAAGCGUGGGGAUCAAACAGGAUUAGAUACCCUGGUAGUCCACGCCGUAAACGAUGAGUGCUAAGUGUUAGGGGGUUUCCGCCCCUUAGUGCUGCAGCUAACGCAUUAAGCACUCCGCCUGGGGAGUACGACCGCAAGGUUGAAACUCAAAG
rnacentral:rRNA from 1 species